GAGUUUGAUCGUGGCUCAGGACGAACGCUGGCGGCGCGCUUAACACAUGCAAGUCGAGCGAGAACCGGACCUUCGGGUCCGGGGACAGCGGCGAACGGGUGAGUAACACGUGGGUAAUUUGCCCUCGGUUCUGGGAUAGCCCGGGGAAACCCGGAUUAAUACCGGAUAGCCUCUCGAGCUCUCGGGCUCGAGAGGAAAGGUAGCUUCGGCCUCCGACCGAGGAGAAGCCCGCGGCGGAUUAGCUUGUUGGCGGGGUAAUGGCCCACCAAGGCGACGAUCCGUAGCUGGUCUGAGAGGACGAUCAGCCACACUGGGACUGAGACACGGCCCACGACUCCUACGGGAGGCAGCAGUGGGGAAUCUUGCGCAAUGGGCGAAAGCCUGACGCAGCGACGCCGCGUGAGGGAAGAAGGCC
rnacentral:rRNA from 1 species